CCAGAUUAGUCAUUAGCAAAGAGCUGAUUCCUUGGUUAAAUUUAACAUGUCUCCAGAUUUAGGUCACAAACAUUUGCUUUAAAAAUAUAAAAGGAAAGAUAUGAAGUCCUUGCAGGUCCUAACAUUUUCAGUCUCAUUUAUUGAAGGAAAAUUAAUUUUUAACAACAUAUUUCAAACGUCAAAAAACAAUUUCUAAUUGAUUUUACAGUAGAAACUAGAAAAUAGAUCAGUUUUCUCAGACAAUGCACAAACAAGCUAAUUUCUGCAAAAGAAACGAAGCUUGAGCAACAUAAUCUUAAUUCUGAUGGAAGUACUAAAUCAGCACGUACCAGAUCAUAAAUAUAAACAGAACAAUCGCUAGAUCCACUGUAAAUGUACUUUUGACCAGUGCUGCAACAAGCGAAUCACCAAAUUAGUAAUGAACCAAAAUUCUUUACAAUUGUCAAUGCCACCAAAACAAAAUAACAUCUUGCAAAAAAGAAAUUGCCCUAAGACCAGUCAAAUGAUCAGACACAACCCAAAUUUGAUGACAAGUUAAUUCAGGUUUUGGCCCAGCUAAAUUUACAGUAGCAUAACCACAAAAUCUAAAUUGUCAACAACAAAAAUCUUUAACAGUGUUAUGCAGUAUGAUUAGAAGGUGCUACUUUUUCUAAAUUGUUUGGUUUGAUACUUGUCUUCAUGAGUGGCUUGGCUUAUAGAUUAGCAAGGAGGAGAG
rnacentral:misc_RNA from 1 species